UAACAUUCUGUAAUUUUGCCGUCAGUUUUCUAUCCCAAGAAAUGGCGCAGAGGGAGAGAAACGAAGAAGAGACGCUCUCUCUCGCAGAUCGGCACUGCCGAUGGCGUCGAGUUGUCCGAAGGAUUCUUUGACAUCGAUCGUACUUGACAAGACUCCACAAUGUUUACAAACGAUCAUAGCUGCAACGAGAAACGCAGAUGCGAUCCGUCCACGAGAUCGAUGUCUCGCAAAACCCUAAUAUCUGUCGCGCGGCGAUCUGAGGAGAAGUCUCAUCGAUCAGAUCGACGUCGCGAAAAACCUUGACCUAGUCUGUUUGUUUCUAUCUUCUACACGAAGAAAACGAAAAGUGAAAGAAACGCUCUCAGCAGAUCGACACUGCCGAUGCCGUCCUCUAGUUCUCCGAAGGAGUCUUUGGCAUCGGUGCUUGACAAGACUCUCUCAUUGUUUAAAAAUGACGACAACUGCAAGGAGAAACGCACCUGCGAUCCAUCUACGAGACCGACUUCGCGCAAAACCCUAAUUUCUGUCUCUGAGGCGCGAAAAUCUGAGGAGAAAUCUCAUCGAUCAGUCACACGUUGACGUCUUCAAGGACGAAGCCUCCCUCCCUCGUGUUCAAACGUUUGAAGGUACUUUUCUCUAUAUAAUUGCAUAUCAAGCAGUUGCAAUAUUAAGUAUAAUCUUCCGAGAACUUGUGUGACUUUGCAUGAUUUUUUUGUUAUGUCUCUGUGUUUGGUUGCUAUGAAAACAGAGGAAAGGACUGAGAAAAUUGACGUUUGCCAGCAACCUAACAUGAAUGAGAAGUAUUUGAAAUCUAUACAUUUUGAAAGCUGCGCUAUAUAGCUCGUUACUUUCCUUAGGGUUUCUUGCAAGCCAAACAGACUAUUCUAGCCCUCAAAAAUUACGUGUUAUUCAAUCUUUGUCAACCUUAUGCUAUUUCAUGUAAUAUAUUACCUUAUCAAUCAUAAUCAAUCUGCUAAUUAAUAUCAAACGAUUAUCAUCCGCCUUUUGUUUGAUAUUCUAAAUUACAUAUGGCUGCCUUCUAUAGGGUGCUUAACUUCUUAAACAUAGUCUUGAUGUGUAUUUUGCGCCUCUGUGAGGCUUGAAAGCUACUGGGCAUAAUCACAAGAAGUUUAGGUUUAAAAAUUUGAUCAAGAGGAUUUAUAUUACAUAGAAUAAGGAAAGUUUUAUUUGGUAUUCCUAGUUUUGGCUCUCUGCCACCAUAACAAAGAGUACUUUGAUCCUUUUCAUCAUAAUGUGCUUCUUUUAGAUUCCUCCUGCUGCUUAGUUUCACUAGCACAUACUUUUGGUGUCCUAAAAAAAUAAUAGUGAUGACCGUAAAUUGAAGAUGCUGGCAUGCUAGAACUUGAUAGUUUGUUGAAGUGUUUGAAAAGAUGAGAGAGCUUUGAAAGACAACUCAGGAAGCGAUGAAGUGUGCAAAAUAUCCAUUUAAUGGCUGCUUUUGAAGGCUUUUAAGAAGGAAAUUGAUGGUUCCAGGUAGCAUAACUUCAUCAACUAUGGGUAAGAGAAAUUUCUUAGUAAGUGCUUUCUCUGCUUGAUGCGCUGUUUUGAAACGCUCAAAUUAUAAUGUGUACAUGUGAUAUGUCAUGAUGUUAAAAGGUGUUGAUUUAUUUUAUUACCACUCUCAUGUUCCUCGGGACUUUUACCCAAAAACUAUGUACAUGAAUCUAGCUUGGGAAAAGAAAAACUAACAAAUAUUACUAUAAAUAGUAUUUGAUUGCUGAUAAGGCAUCCUUGUUGAGAAAAUGAAGAGAAAUUGCUAGCAUAUGGCUGUUAGUAAGCUGAGAAGUGAACUUUGGUGCUAGUGACAGACUACCCACACACCUAAUCUCACUUUCCCUGGCCCAUCCAUCUGCCAGAAGCCAACCCACUGGUGUCUUCAAGGUUUUUUCUCAUGCCUGUGUUUUGAAACAAUGAUGCACAUGACAAAUGAAUAAGUUUUACAAAUGUACCAGUGAUAUAAAAUACAUACACCCUUAUCUCUUCCCAAGCUUGGUUUUCAGCAUAUGGCUCGUUGCUUCCUCAAAUUCACUUAUUUAGGUAUUUUUAUGCGGUGUACACUUCCUGACA